CCCAAAAUGCUUCUUCACUCUCACUGCUGUCAGGUGCCCAGCGGGCACUGGCACGCACGGGUCAUUUCUACCCGGCGUGCGCUCACUGCUCUCCUUAGUCUUCCAUGGAGCCUUGCGGGAAAAUGUUCAACACCAGGGCAAUAAAUGGGGAUCGCUUCAGGGUCCGAGGCCGGAAGAGACCGUUGUGAUCAUCUCAUCGGACCACCUGCAUAGAGCAGGCCAGAACUACCCCCAAAUAAUUCCUGGAGCAGAGCUUUCAGCAUGGGGCUGCAGGGAUAGACAGAGGGGUCUGUAUGGGGAUGGAGCGAGAGCAGAUGCCAGGAUGGAGAAAGAGAAUCUCCAGCAGGAAGAGUCUGUGGGAGCAGAGCCACAUGGAACAUCCUGGAGCAGGAAGGGGCAGAGUGGAAACCUCUCAGGAAAAAGACCCGCUGGAGAAGAGGUAGAUUUGAGGUAUCCCUCUGGGCAGCUGAGGCUCAGCAAA